CCCAGCUUCUCUGGAGGAAAAAUCCUAAAGAAAUAAUUUUUCAUAAAAGUUGUCUGUGACAUUCAUCUGUGAUUUCAUUUAGAUGGUCAAAGUCCCAGCACAGGCAGGGUAAGGCUGAGGGAAGGACCAGGGCAGAGGGUCAGUGUGCACCUUAUUUAUCCAGUACACAGUGAGAUACUGGCAAUAUUUCUCCAUCAGGUCCCAAACCCUGGUACUCAUAAAUCUCACAGAAUUUCAGAGCUGUUCUUUCAUGAGAUCUACUCGUAUGACAUUCAUGUCAUCCUGUUUCAGGUUUUUGUACCUGCUUACAGGUAAUCUGCUCCAUUCCUGCAGCUUUUUCUUCCUCUUCAGACCUGUAGUUGCCAUCCAGCUUGUGGCUAUCUUCACCUGGAAUAUCUUUACAAAGCAUAUGUGAGAAGUUCCCGCCCCUGAUGUGAGACCACAGCUCUGAGCAUCCCCUGGCAAUCUGCUGUGGUGGAAAUCACAGAAUGCAGCUGUGGGAAGAAGGAGGGAGGUUUUAUUUCCCUAUAGACUGAAAAUGCUGGGGCUGAAACCGUGUGGAUGCAGCACCUCCUUGGGUGGGCAGGACAAGGUCACAGCGCCCUGGGGAGCAAGGCAGGGAUGGAGGCAGCCUGGAUCCUGCCCCUCCUGCUACCCUGAGCCUUGGAGGAUCCUGAAGAAAGCAGAGAGGGCUAUGUGCUGAUUCAAAUGCAAGCAUCUGGAAUGGGCCACAGCUGACACUGGGCUAAUGGGCAGGGUGCGGAGAUGCUGCUGGCGAUGGAAGGAGGCUCCUGCAGCUCCUGGCUGGAUAAAAUAUUCCAAACCCAAACAAAGUCAUCAUUUAAGGAGCAAGAAGGCCUCUGUGGAGUGUCUGUGUGGAGUUUCUCUGGAGGUGGAGGCUUCUCCCAGCCCUUAUUCCUCGGUGCUGGCUGGCAGGGCAGGGGCUGCUGGGCUGGAGUGCUGA
rnacentral:lncRNA from 1 species